AUUGAACGCUGGCGGCAUGCUUUACACAUGCAAGUCGAACGGUAACAGGCCGCAAGGUGCUGACGAGUGGCGAACGGGUGAGUAAUGCAUCGGAACGUGCCCAGUCGUGGGGGAUAACGCAGCGAAAGCUGCGCUAAUACCGCAUACGAUCUGUGGAUGAAAGCGGGGGACCGUAAGGCCUCGCGCGAUUGGAGCGGCCGAUAUCAGAUUAGGUAGUUGGUGGGGUAAAGGCCUACCAAGCCGACGAUCUGUAGCUGGUCUGAGAGGACGACCAGCCACACUGGGACUGAGACACGGCCCAGACUCCUACGGGAGGCAGCAGUGGGGAAUUUUGGACAAUGGGCGCAAGCCUGAUCCAGCAAUGCCGCGUGCAGGAAGAAGGCCUUCGGGUUGUAAACUGCUUUUGUACGGAACGAAACGGUCCUGGUUAAUACCCGGGGCUAAUGACGGUACCGUAAGAAUAAGCACCGGCUAACUACGUGCCAGCCGCCGCCGUAAUAC
rnacentral:rRNA from 1 species